rnacentral:lncRNA from 1 species
CACACUAUAUCUUGAAAAUCAUCAAGGUGACUUGGGGCCUUGAUGAGAAUUUUUGUUGUAGGCCAUUCCGUCGUAAAGGAGCAUCAUUGUUUGCUAUGCCUUGAAUCUCAUCGAGGUGGUCUUGGUUCUUGACCAAGGUUUUCUAUCAUCACACCUCGGAUCUGGCCAAGAUGACCUCUAAUUCAGUCGAGGGUUAAGC